GUGCUACCAUGGCAGAUCGAUUCCAAAAUCCUAUUACCCACAUUUCAUUAAAUUUAUAUUUUCCAACUACAUUCUCAAAUCAAAAUCCUUUAGCCGGUCGCGGCUUAUCAUUGAAUUUAUGCCUUUUCACUUCAAUAAAAACGUUUUAAACGAAAUUUGUUCGAUAUCGAAUAAAAUGUACUUUUUUCUUUGAAACUGCAACGUAUGGGAAGUAUGCUGCGGUUCUUCUUACUUCUCAGUCUGAUGGUAUGUGCGUUGGUGUUAGCAAAACGCAGACAACAUAAAAAUAAGGAUGACUUGGGUGGGCGCUUGAUAACUGCCUUGAGGAAUGACGUGAACAUCGAUCUCUCGGCUGACGAGGAGUAUGAGGACCUGCGGGCAGAACUCCUCGCUUACCACUCAGCACUCGCUUCCAUCGCUCCUACUCGUAGGUCGAUGAAAACGACGCCAUGUUGGCAACUGGGCGGUAUUUGCGUCGACCAACAGAUGUGUGAGGGCCAGCGCUUCUUAACCCAAGUAAAUGGAUGCAGAAAUAAUUUAGAAGUAUGUUGCUUCAAGUGGAACAACUUCCACGUCAGAGACUUAAAAGACAAGGGACUCGAUACUUUAGGUCUGCCCUGGAGUAGACAACAAGAUUUUGGUGGCAAAGGUAUUGUACCAAAAAUGAAGAUAGUCCAAACGAAAAAGAAGAGGUCCAAAAGAAAACGUGAAGAUGAUGACGCCCAAAUUGAUGAAAUACCACAGUACCGUAAGAAAUCGCCUCUGGUCGUUAUAGUACAGACAUAGAAGAACUUCAACCAAGCAAACUAUUCACUUAUGUUCUAUUUAUUUGAUUUUACGUUACUUGAAAGAUUCCAUAUUAAUUCGUGUUGUAAAAUACUUCAACCAAAACAUUAGUUGGCUUAUCGAAAGUACUUUCUUUGAUUAAUUAAAAAGUUAAUGAAACAAUAUGAUUUAUAGUUUUAUUUGGUUAUUUUUUGAAAACAUGUCACUGUUGAUAAGAUGUGUUAUUAUCGCUUUAGUUGUUACAAAUGUACUCGGCAACAAUAAAAACGGUAACGGAAAGAGCAAUGGAAAUGGCAACGGAAAGAGCAAUGGAAAUGGCAAUGGAAAGACUAACGGAAAUGGAAAGACUAAUGGAAAUGGCAAUGGAAAGACUAAUGGAAAUGGCAAUGGACAUAGCAAUGGAAAUGGCAAUGGACAUAACGCUGGAAAUGGCAAUGGACAUAUCGCUGGACUUACCCCUGGAAAUGGCAACGGACAGGGAAAUGGAAAUGGGAAUGGGCAUGGGAGCUAUGCUCAACCUCAGAUAUCUAGCUCUUUCAAAGACGUAUUCCUCCCUGGUUUAGGCAAGAAACCAACACUCGGAACAACUAGGUCGACUUGCUGGGCUCGCGGUGGCAUAUGUGUGGACAUCAGACAAUGUCCCUCGCUUCACAUGGAUGUCGGAGUGGCUGGGUGCUCUUGGGGGUACAAAGUCUGCUGCAAGGUCCAUAUACUCGGCGCCCCCACAGUCGGUAGCCAACGAAGAUACGCAGUUCCAGUUAUAAAUAACCUAGAUGAACUAGGAGCUUCUUUGGAAAUAAUCGCUCUAAGGAACUCGAUGCUACUGUCCAGCUGGCAAUCAAAAAAUGACGAUAUUCACUUAGAUGAAUUGCUCAACUAAAUAAAAAAAUAUUUUUGCUAGGCAUUUUCCCUAUACUGAUAAAUUGUUAUAAUAAUAAAUAGUUUGUGUCGCUGGUAGUAUCCAGUAGGCGUCUCAAAUAUGAUAAGGGUGUACGGACACCUUCAUUAAUUGGAUACAGUCCUGGCAAACAUAACGCUUGACUAAGGGAGCUCCCAAUUUAUGCAGUUGCCGUUACCUCAGUCUGCCCCGGGGAAAACGGACUUGUUGUUAUGUUAUGCAAAUUCCUUUUAACAACGAAACACACAUUACAAGUAUGUUUGGCCACUAAAUCGAGUCAUGUU